GUGAUAAAAGACACUGAGGAUAUGCUUUAGACCCCUUAACAAAGGAGACAAGAAGUGAGUAAAAAGCUGCCCUUUGACAUGCCACUGGAUUUAUUUGCCAUGGGAAAGCGUCACAGGUCCACUUAGCAAAUAUGGUAAAGGCAGGAAGGACUGGAUAAUAUGUCUAAGGAGGCAAAUGCUACUACAGAGUUCUUUGUACUCAUUGCUCAUAGCUUUUUCUGUUAACUGAUUAUUCUGUUAGCAGCCUGGCUGAGGGGAAUCUUGUCCUAGAUCACGCAUAACAAUUUGUGCCUCAAAUGAUCACCCCAUACUUUAAUAAAGGUCCAUGUCACAUCCUAAUUAUUCAAAAACAUCUAUCUGAUCUAGAACACUUUUAGAACUCUUAGUCUAUUGCACUUAACUUAGCCCUUAACAACAACGGUCUUUUUUGAUUCAUUUUGUCUUUCUAAACCAAUUGAAGCUGCCUGCGCUGCUGUAGCCCAUGGCAAGCCGGGUUCAGGACCAGCAUUGACAUGUGUAGGCUUGCGACACAGGCUCCUGGACGUCCUAAAGAAACCUCCUAAGAGUCAUCAUGGCAUUGAAUACCCAGGCCCGCAGAAGCACAUGUUGCAGUGAGCUUUACUUCAAAGCCAGUAGCCUGGCCGAGUUCCAAGAAUUGUCACAAACGCUCCGCACCAGACGCUUGGUCCUCAGCAGUGGGCCCUGCACACACACACAAGUGUGCGCACACACAUCCCACCUCAGAUACUGCUCUAAUUCAACAGCUGUCCUGAACAGAGGUUGGUUCCACACCCAACUUUAUUUUUGAUUGUUGCCCAAGACCUAUUCCCUCCCAUCCACCACUUGUAAUACAGAAGCGUCUUCCACCAACAUCUUCACAAGGAAGACUGAGGAAGUAAGCAAGUCCCUUUGAGUUCCAAGUGACAGAAAACUGCUCAAAGGUGCUUGAGUAAAAAUUAAACAAUUAGUAAAGGGAGGCAGAAAAGUGCCCAGAGUCUGAGCAGUCUUCUAGUGGGUUCUUUGGGAAAUCAAAUUAUGUCAACCUGUAUCGCUUUUCUCGGUCAUUGAAUUCUACCUUACAGUUUAUUGGCUUCAUUCGCAGGCUUCAUUGGAAAGACUCCAGAGGUUCCAAGCUCAUAAUCUCUGAGGUUCAAAUUCAGUAAGAGAGGACAGCUCUUCCUGCUAGUCUCCACGUGAGUCUGAGAAUUCACUGAUUAGAUAAACUUGCCUUGAUCAAAUGCCUCCCACUAAGACCAGAGGCAAAGUCUCAAAGCUUCGAGGACUGAGAGUGGGGGAAGAAAGUUUCAAAGGACAUUCAGGGUCUUACUACCAAAGAACAAUAGCAAGACACUGUGCAGCAUCUCCAAAACACCAGUAGCCAUUCUCCCAAUAAAUCCCAAUCUCUGAGAAACUACAUUACUGGAAUAAGCAAUUUUGAAAACAGAACAUUAAAGGGAAAAAACAAAACCAAAUCAGGCAAGUCACCAAAUAAAAGGGAUUCACCCUUACAAUCAAUCAAAGGAAUGUAAAUGAAAAGAGUUAUUCUUUUUUUGUUGUUGUUAAAUUCUUUUAUGGGUACAUUGUAGGUACACAACACAAUUACAUUUCUCAUUGGGAAUUGUACCUUUACGUAAUGCAUCUUGGUUCUUAUUUUUUCCCCAUUCCUAGUCCUCCCUUCAUGU
rnacentral:lncRNA from 1 species